rnacentral:rRNA from 1 species
UGCGUAGGCGGAAUAUUAAGUCAGUGGUGAAAUCCUGCGGCUCAACCGUAGAACUGCCAUUGAUACUGAUAUUCUUGAAUGUAGUUGAGGUAGGCGGAAUGUGUAAUGUAGCGGUGAAAUGCUUAGAUAUUACACAGGACACCGAUUGCGAAGGCAGCUUACUAAACUAUGAUUGACGCUGAGGCACGAAAGCGUGGGGAGCGAACAGGAUUAGAUACCCUGGUAGUCC